AUACCCCAUGAUGCUCAGGUCCGCCGCAUCUCCUGGGUUCCGUGGGGUUGGCCGGUCGGCGCUGACACUCAGUGGCCUCCUCGUACCGCUGUCAGAUUGCCGACCGGCCCCCUU
rfam:Mesorhizobium sp. B7, complete genome.